rnacentral:rRNA from 1 species
GAUGAACGCUGGCGGCGUGCUUAGCACAUGCAAGUCGAACGAGAAGUGAAGACGGAAACCUUCGGGCGGAAGGCUUUAUUUCGAGUGGCGGACGGGUGAGUAACGCGUGGGUAACCUGCCUCAUACAGGGGGAUAACAGUUGGAAACGACUGUUAAUACUGCAUAAGACCACAGCACCGCAUGGUGCGGGGGUAAAAACUCCGGUGGUAUGAGAUGGACCCGCGUUCGAUUAGCCAGUUGGCGGGGUAACGGCCCACCAAAGCGACGAUCGAUAGCCGAUCUGAGAGGAUGACCGGCCACAUUGGGACUGAGACACGGCCCAAACUCCUACGGGAGGCAGCAGUGGGGAAUAUUGCACAAUGGGGGAAACCCUGAUGCAGCGACGCCGCGUGAGUGAAGAAGUAUUUCGGUAUGUAAAGCUCUAUCAGCAGGGAAGAAAAUGACGGUACCUGAGUAAGAAGCCCCGGCUAACUACGUG